AUUGAACGCUGCCGGCAGGCCUAACACAUGCAAGUCGAACGAGCGGCGGACGGGUGAGUAAGGUCUGGGAAACUGCCCGACGGAGCGGGCUGACUACCAGAAACCGUAGCUAAAACUGCAUUCCAUCGGAUCUGCCCUGAUGGGAUGAGCUAGUAGGGUGGGUAAAGGCUCACCGAGGGGACGAACCCGAGCUGGUCUGAGAGGAUGACCAGCCACACUGGUACUGAGACACGGUCCAGACUCCUACGGGAGACAGCAGUGGGGAAGAUUGCAGAGUGGAGGCAAGCCUGAUGCAGCAGUGCCGCGUGUAUGAAGAAGGGCUUCGGGUUGUAAAGUACUUGCAGCGUGGAGGCGUUACCCGCAGAAGAAGCACCGGCUAACUCCGUGCCAGCGGGCGCGGUAAUUC
rnacentral:rRNA from 1 species